ACCUAGGGCCUAAAUACCUUAAUAGCACCAGAUCCCAUCUGAUCUUGGAAGCUAAGCAGGAUCAGGUCUAUCAAAGCAUGGAUGGGGGACCACCAAGAACUAUCAAAUGUCAUGAGCU
rnacentral:rRNA from 11 species